UACGUAGGGUGCAAGCGUUGUCCGGAAUUAUUGGGCGUAAAGAGCUCGUAGGCGGUCUGUCGCGUCUGCUGUGAAAACUCGGGGCUUAACCCCGGGCCUGCAGUGGGUACGGGCAGACUAGAGUGCGGUAGGGGAGACUGGAAUUCCUGGUGUAGCGGUGAAAUGCGCAGAUAUCGGGAGGAACACCAAUGGCGAAGGCAGCUCGCUGGGACGGUACUGACGCUGAGGCGCG
rnacentral:rRNA from 1 species